UGCCGAUGAUGACCACGCCAUGCUAAUACCGACCGGCCGCUGGCCGGGGUGAGUUCAACCUCUUCUAGGGCUGAGGCAC
rfam:Leptosomus discolor contig11545, whole genome shotgun sequence.